rnacentral:tRNA from 1 species
GGGCCGGUGGAUCAGUCUGGUAUGAUCGCCGCCCUGGCAUGGCGGAGGUCGGGGGUUCAAAUCCCCCCCGGUCCA